UUAGCGGAUGACUUGUGGCUGGGGGUGAAAGGCCAAUCAAACCGGGAGAUAGCUGGUUCUCCCCGAAAGCUAUUUAGGUAGCGCCUCGUGAAUUCAUCUCCGGGGGUAGAGCACUGUUUCGGCAAGGGGGUCAUCCCGACUUACCAACCCGAUGCAAACUGCGAAUACCGGAGAAUGUUAUCACGGGAGACACACGGCGGGUGCUAACGUCCGUCGUGAAGAGGGAAACAACCCAGACCGCCAGCUAAGGUCCCAAAGUCAUGGUUAAGUGGGAAACGAUGUGGGAAGGCCCAGACAGCCAGGAUGUUGGCUUAGAAGCAGCCAUCAUUUAAAGAAAGCGUAAUAGCUCACUGGUCGAGUCGGCCUGCGCGGAAGAUGUAACGGGGCUAAACCAUGCACCGAAGCUGCGGCAGCGACACUAUGUGUUGUUGGGUAGGGGAGCGUUCUGUAAGCCUGUGAAGGUGGCCUGUGAGGGUUGCUGGAGGUAUCAGAAGUGCGAAUGCUGACAUAAGUAACGAUAAAGCGGGUGAAAAGCCCGCUCGCCGGAAGACCAAGGGUUCCUGUCCAACGUUAAUCGGGGCAGGGUGAGUCGACCCCUAAGGCGAGGCCGAAAGGCGUAGUCGAUGGGAAACAGGUUAAUAUUCCUGUACUUGGUGUUACUGCGAAGGGGGGACGGAGAAGGCUAUGUUGGCCGGGCGACGGUUGUCCCGGUUUAAGCGUGUAGGCUGGUUUUCCAGGCAAAUCCGGAAAACCAAGGCUGAGGCGUGAUGA
rnacentral:rRNA from 1 species